UAAAUCGGACCCCGCUUCAACGCAUGAUUCUUUCGCCUUUUGUUAAAGAAUUUCAUGGAAAGGAGUAUUACAAUGAGUCCUUCAACUAUUUUUUUACAUCUGACUCUGGUCAGGAU
ensembl:snRNA U5 U5 spliceosomal RNA